GACAGAGGAUGCAAGCGUUAUCCGGAAUGAUUGGGCGUAAAGCGUCUGUAGGUGGCUUUUCAAGUCCGCCGUCAAAUCCCAGGGCUUAACCCUGGACAGGCGGUGGAAACUACCAAGCUGGAGUACGGUAGGGGCGGAGGGAAUUUCCGGUGGAGCGGUGAAAUGCAUUGAGAUCGGAAAGAACACCAAUGGCGAAGGCAGCUCGCUGGGACGGUACUGACACUGAGACGCGAAAGCGUGGGGAGCAAACAGG
rnacentral:rRNA from 1 species